rnacentral:rRNA from 1 species
UGGUGGAUUGAUUUGUCAGGUUGAUUCCGACAACGAACGAGAUCCAAGCUUUCUAGUUCUGGGUUCCCUUCAUCUGUUGGGGGUCUCCUAGGUUAGAAGGACGGUGUUGGCUUACAACAAUGAAGGGUUGGGCGAUAACA